rnacentral:rRNA from 1 species
UCGGGAAUUUUGGGCAAUGGGCGAAAGCCUGACCCAGCAACGCCGCGUGAGGGAUGAAGUAUUUCGGUAUGUAAACCUCGAAAGAAUGGGAAGAAUAAAUGACGGUACCAUUUAUAAGCUCCGGCUAACUACGUGCCAGCAGCCGCGGUAAUACGUAGGGAGCAAGCGUUGUUCGGAUUUACUGGGCGUAAAGGGCGCGUAGGCGGCGCGGUAAGUCACUUGUGAAAUCUCUGAGCUUAACUCAGAACGGCCAAGUGAUACUGCUGUGCUAGAGUGCGGAAGAGGCAACCGGAAUUCUUGGUGUAGCGGUGAAAUGUGUAGAUAUCAAGAGGAACACCUGAGGCGAAGGCGGGUUGCUGGGCCGACACUGACGCUGAGGCGCGAAAGCCAGGGGAGCAAACG